CCUACGGGAGGCAGCAGUAGGGAAUCUUCCACAAUGGGCGAAAGCCUGAUGGAGCAACGCCGCGUGGGUGAAGAAGGUCUUCGGAUCGUAAAACCCUGUUGUUAGAGAAGAACGUGCGUGAGAGUAACUGUUCACGUUUCGACGGUACCUAACCAGAAAGCCACGGCUAACUACGUGCCAGCAGCCGCGGUAAUACGUAGGUGGCAAGCGUUAUCCGGAAUUAUUGGGCGUAAAGGGAACGCAGGCGGUUUUUUAAGUCUGAUGUGAAAGCCUUCGGCUCAACCGGGGUAGUGCAUUGGAAACUGGGAGACGUGAGUGCAGAAGAGGAGAGUGGAACGCCAUGUGUAGCGGUGAAAUGCGUAGAUAUAUGGAGGAACACCAGUGGCGAAGGCGACUCUCUGGUCUGUAACUGACGCUGAGGUGCGAAAGCGUGGGGAGCAAACAGGAUUAGAUACCCGGGUAGUC
rnacentral:rRNA from 1 species